GUGGUGAGAAUGAACCAAACCAAGCUAGCAAAAUGUCG
rnacentral:guide_RNA from 1 species